rnacentral:rRNA from 1 species
CUGGCCCUACGGGGCGCAGCAGUGAGGAAUAUUGGUCAAUGGGCGCGAGCCUGAACCAGCCAAGUCGCGUGAGGGAGGACGGCCCUACGGGUUGUAAACCUCUUUUGCCGGGGAGCAACGGGCGUCACGUGUGGCGCCACUGAGAGUACCCGGAGAAAAAGCAUCGGCUAACUCCGUGCCAGCAGCCGCGGUAAUACGGAGGAUGCGAGCGUUAUCCGGAUUUAUUGGGUUUAAAGGGUGCGCAGGCGGAAGAUCAAGUCAGCGGUAAAAUGGAGAGGCUCAACC